GACGAACGCUGGCGGCGUGCUUAACACAUGCAAGUCGAACGGUGAAGCGCCUUCCUUUUUGGUGGGUGUGGAUGAGUGGCGAACGGGUGAGUAACACGUGAGUAACCUGCCCCCUUCUUCUGGAUAACCGCAUGAAAGUGUGGCUAAUACGGGAUAUUCUGGGUCUGUCGCAUGAUGGGUCUGGGAAAGAUAUUGUUUCGGUGGGGGAUGGGCUCGCGGCCUAUCAGCUUGUUGGUGGGGUGAUGGCCUACCAAGGCGGUGACGGGUAGCCGGCCUGAGAGGGUGGACGGUCACACUGGGACUGAGACACGGCCCAGACUCCUACGGGAGGCAGCAGUGGGGAAUAUUGCACAAUGGGCGCAAGCCUGAUGCAGCGACGCCGCGUGAGGGAUGGAGGUCUGCGGGUUGUGAACCUCUUUCGCCAGUGAAGCAGGCCUGCCUCGUUUGUGGGUGGGUUGACGGUAGCUGGAUAAGAAGCGCCGGCUAACUACGUG
rnacentral:rRNA from 1 species